GGCUUGUUGGCGUAAUGGUAACACAUUCCGUGUACCUAUAUGGAACGUUCGUAUAUCAUUCGACAGAAAGUCUGGAGUUCGAUUCUCCGUCAAGCCA